GAGGGUAUAGCUCAGUAGUAGAGCGUGUGCUUAGCAUGCAUGAGGUUCUGGGUCCAAUCCCCAGUGCCUCCA
rnacentral:tRNA from 1 species